AGCUUCCAUGCAGGUUUCUUUAAAGAGAGUCAAUCAGGAAUCAAAACAUGGAGCGUGUGAUUGCAACACUGACAGCUCUUUUUUUAUUUUCUCUCUCAUUUCAGAUAAAUCAAGGUCAGACCAUCAAAGCCGUCAGAUUCUCAGUCAGAAAUGAAAAGAGGUGAAUCAUGGACCAGCAAAUCAUGCCACGGCCUACGCCAUCCUGCGAUCAAAUAGAAAACAUGUUUUUCUCGUCUGUUCCUGUUUGAUAAUGAAGGUAAGAUGGAUGAUUGUUAAAGCAGUGAAAUGGUAAAUAUAGUGAAAAAAGACGUCAGGAGUGAGUGGAGUCAAAAGCAGAGUUAAAAAAGGGUGAAUAUUUAAAUGUAAUUAAUCAUCAGCUGGAUAUUUAUUAAACCAUUGGCAAUGAAUUAAUAUACCCUGUAAAAGGUUCUGCAUACUGUUUUAGUUGUUUGUGGAAUAUGUUAUCUCUCAAGAAAGGUUUUGAAUCCAGAGGCAAAAAUGAUCACAAUUCAAAGGAGAUUUUUUUUAACCUCAUUAUCCAUGUAGUGAUCUGGGUGGCAUAAUCAUAAUAAAUGGAUUUGCUGCACUGAUUGGCUGCCUCUAGAAAGGAGGGUGCUGACCAAUGCAGAUGAAUGCAGAGGCGGAAAAACACAAAUGACUUCAAUAACCAUCAUUUUCUAUUAGAGUUGUUGCCCUUAUAAAAUCAAGAUUUAGGUCUUCAAAAAGUAGUUUUGAAAAAAAUGUUUGUCGUCGUUGUUGUUUUCUGUCUGGGUUGUGGGGGCAGCAGCUUCAGGAGGGGAGCCCAGACAGUCCUCACCCGAGCUUCACCCACUUCCACCAGCUCCUCUGGGGGGAUUCUCAGGCACUCCCAGGCCAGGCGAGAGAUAUAAUCCCUCCACCUGGUCCUGGGCCGGACACGAGGUCUCCUCCUGGUGGGACAUGUCUGGAACACCUCUAACAGGAGGCGUCCAGAAGGCAUCCUAACCAGAUGCCCGAGCCACCUCAGCAGACUCAUCUUGACGUGGAGGAGCAUAAGUUCUACUCUGAGCACCUCCCAAGUGUCCGAGCU